GAUGAACGCUGGCGGCGUGCCUAAUACAUGCAAGUCGAGCGAACAGACGAGGAGCUUGCUCCUCUGACGUUAGCGGCGGACGGGUGAGUAACACGUGGAUAACCUACCUAUAAGUCUGGGAUAACUUCGGGAAACCGGAGCUAAUACCGGAUAAUAUAUUGAACCGCAUGGUUCAAUAGUGAAAGACGGUUUUGCUGUCACUUAUAGAUGGAUCCGCGCCGCAUUAGCUAGUUGGUAAGGUAACGGCUUACCAAGGCAACGAUGCGUAGCCGACCUGAGAGGGUGAUCGGCCACACUGGAACUGAGACACGGUCCAGACUCCUACGGGAGGCAGCAGUAGGGAAUCUUCCGCAAUGGGCGAAAGCCUGACGGAGCAACGCCGCGUGAGUGAUGAAGGUCUUCGGAUCGUAAAACUCUGUUAUUAGGGAAGAACAAAUGUGUAAGUAACUAUGCACGUCUUGACGGUACCUAAUCAGAAAGCCACGGCUAACUACGUG
rnacentral:rRNA from 1 species